GAUAUAACAGAGUGGCGACACUCCCAUAGACCUCCAUAGGAAACAAUGGCGGACGUUUUUUCAGGCUACUUCCGCGUUAUGGAGAGCUCAACAGUUCUUAACAGUGACAUUCGCGGAGUUUGCCUCAUUCACUUCCAUUGGUGUCUGCCUAACUUUGUCAGCGAUGCUGAAAGUGAUGUGACAAGACAUUGUCUUCAAUUAAGUGGUCCUUGACCAAGGAUGCAGAGGACAAGACGGGUGUGUAGUAUUGACUGAAAUGAUCAGAGAAGGUCAUUUUUUAUGGUUUAGGUCCAAACGAAGGGACCCUUCCAACCUCAGCAUCUCCAACACCUCCUGUCACACCUCCAGCCAAAUGUGCUACAUCUUCCUCAGUUAACCUUCUUGUACUGUAGGUGUGCAUGUCCAGCAUCCUUUGCACAUUAAUGUCUUUAGUUGUACACACGGUACGGUUGUUCAGAUUUGGGAAUCUGAAAUGUUUUUCAGAAUGUCUUUGAAAAUAUAAAUGGGUGUUAACCCUCCUUUUUAUAUUGCAGUCUCACCAUAUCUCCCUUAAGCCUUUUCUGUGUGUAUUCCUGUUCUUGAUGUUGUUAAAACAUAGCCUACUUGUUCCACACAUUGAAAAUGUAAUAAACAAAUGUAUUGAAAACUCAAAAUGUAUCAGUCAUCCUUUUUAUGCUGUUCUAAGUGCUUUCUUGAAACAGAUGAUUGCGUAUUGAGUUACAAUGUUAU